rnacentral:lncRNA from 1 species
AUGGCUUUGCUGUGUGCUCACUGGGGAGUGUGCACAGCACCCACGUGGAAGUCAGAGAAGAGUGCUUGGCAGUGGCGCAGUGGCUCUCUCCUUGGGUCUUCACCUUCUGAAGGGCGUGCUCCAGGAACUUGAACUCAGAACUCAGGAUUGGCAGCAAGUGUUCAGCCAUUUUGAUGACCCCAUUGGUUUUUGGUUUUUUUUUUGUUUUGUUUUUGUUUUU